rnacentral:snoRNA from 1 species
GCAAAAUGAUGUAGAAUGACCUGUUGAUAUCCUGUGAUGUUGAUUCAUGAGCUUUUUAACACUGAUUGCA